GGGCGCUCCACGGGGGCCUGUGCGCUUCCCACAGCUGGGUAUUUCUUGUUGGUUUGUCUCAUAUAGGCCAGGGUGUGGAAUGCUGAAAGACAAGUUCUCACUAUGUAGCCCAGGCUGGCCUCAAACUCGCUGGGAUCCUGCUUCAGCCCCCCAAAGGUUGGGAUUACAGAACUGUGCAUGGGAGCAGAUCUGCACCAACGGGUGUGCUCAGAGUCGCACAGUGGGAAGACGGGGCUGCUGUCACCCUUAUUCCUGUGUUAGAGAAGAAACCAAGACUCCGGAGAUCACACAGCCUGUCUGACAGCAGGAGGCAGGCGACAGAACUAGAAACCAGGAUCCAAGCGGUGUGACUGCUGCAGUUCAGGUCUCAAAUGUCCCCAAAGGCCGGAUGUGCCAGGCUGGGCCCCCGGGGGAGUUCGGUCACAGGUUCGUGCCCUUGGAGGACUUUGGGAGCUGCCUCUUUCUCACUCUGCUCCCAGGUCCCCAGAGGGUGAGCAGCUCUCCCAGGACACCUUGUGCCAUGCCAUGCUGCUUCCACAGGCCGAGCACAGGGCUAAGCUGGCUUGGGCAGAACUUUUCAUUUUAAUAAGUUGGCUCCCUCAGGUGUUUUGUUACGGUGAUGGAUAAAAGCAGACUCACCUGGAACCUCCCGAGUGUGGGAAUUACAGGUAUGCACCACCGAGGCCGGCUCAGCAUGGAUUCUAAACUCAUCACCAGGCUGGGAUCCACGCAGAAUGGGGUGAGGAGACCCCGUCGGAGAGUGGGAGCAUCGGGGUGACUGAUGAUGUCUUCCUCACAGGGGACCUGGGGGAGGCUGGAGGCCACCAGCCACCUCAGGACUGCUGGGCCCUGUCGGCAUGGGCUUGGCAUCCUGUUGUCCCAGUAUGGCCCGGUCAGCGGGUCCCAGGGGCCCCCUGGUGUGGCCUCUCUGGUGCUCUGUCCAUGUGCGCUGGGCCAUCUGUCAUGGGUUCACAGUCCCAGUAAACAGCAGUUUGGUUUCUUGAAUCAUGGCUUUCAGACUGG
ensembl:lncRNA